CAUUUCGUAGAACGGUGGCGCUGAAUGCUGAAUAGGUGUGGAAUCUAUGGUGAAAAUUAGGUACGUGGAGCGCAUUGCGUUUGAGCUUUUUUGUCGGUUGCACAGAAUCUGAAGCGGUUCCGAUUGAUUAUUUAGGCUAAUAAUAACGGUGGGUAAAAAGCAAAUAUGUUGCUCAUCUUCUUCAUAGAGGAACUUGUCCAAGUUAUAUUAUUUACAUAGCGUACUGGUUCCAAGUCCAUAUAAAGAAGGAUGGUUGAAAUAACGCACUUUAUACUAUCCUCGUGGCUUUGCAAAAUGUGAGAUGUGAGAAUUAAUUUGCUGAUAUACAGUAUUUCUUCCUUUCCUCACGUUUUAGUCGCUUCUCCAGUACACACCAGAAUUAAUUUUCUAUAUUUUGCACUCCCGAUAUUUGGUAAUCCCAAUAUUUCCAUUGUCCAUUAGCCACACAAAUUCUACUGUAUUACAAAUUUUAAUAUAGCAAUUUUUUAACGUUACGAAACGAUCGUUAACCUCUUGCUUUCAAAUUAGCUUGUGGCGCAGCGGAGUUAACAACAUUCGAAAUUUAUUUCGAAUGUUGUUAAUUCGAUUGACAGUAGCCACCAUCGGUGUUCUCCGUGGCAGAGCAGGCCAUGAUUAAUUAAUUUUUGAAUUGAAAAAGAUGAAUAUUGAUAAGUUGAAAAAUGUCAAUUUACGAAAAUAAAAAGAAGAUUAUUUCCCGUCUCUAUGUAAUGAGUGUAUUUCUGCCUUCAGUGGAUUUAAAUGUAGUGAAUUGUCACAGAAUCCACCCGAUUUAUUCGUCUUGAACUCCAGAAAACAAACAUCCCGCAAAUAAUAUUUCAUUAUAUAUAAAGUGAUAUAAAGGCAGACAGGAACCA